rnacentral:rRNA from 1 species
GACAGAGGUGCCGAGCGUUAGGCGGAAUCACUGGGCUUAAAGCGUGUGUAGGCGGAUGCCUAAGUACCUUGUGAAAUCCCACGGCUCAACCGUGGAACUGCUCGGUAUACUGGGCGUCUUGAGCCACUUAGGGGCAACCGGAACAAACGGUGGAGCGGUGAAAUGCGUAGAUAUCGUUUGGAACGCCAAUGGUGAAAACAAGUAGCUGGGGAUGUGCCGACGCUGAGACACGAAAGCCAGGGGAGCGAACGGG